rnacentral:rRNA from 1 species
GUCUAUUGCGCAACGGGCGCAAACCUGAUGCAGCAACGCCGCGUGAGGGAAGACGGCCAUCGCGUUGUAAACCUCUUUUGUCCGGGAAGAAGCCCUUGGGUGACGGUACCUGGUGAAAAAUCACCGGCUCACGCCGCUCCAGUAGCCGCGGUAAUUCGCAGGGUGCAAGCGUUGUCCGGAAUUAUUGGGCGUAAAGAGCUCGUAGGCGGCUUGUCGCGUCGGCUGUGAAAACCCGAGGCUCAACCUCGGGCCUGCAGUGGGUACGGGCAGGCUAGAGUGCGGUAGGGGAGAUUGGAAUUCCUGGUGUAGCGGUGGAAUGCGCAGAUAUCAGGAGGAACACCGAUGGCGAAGGCAGAUCUCUGGGCCGCUACUGACGCUGAGGAGCGAAAGCAUGGGGAGCGAACAG